GAUCCAUUCUAAUUUUUAAUUAGUAUAAUUUAACAUGACUUCUAAAUGAAUAUAUGAAGCUCAUUUGUACACACGAUUUACCAUAAGUCGUCUGAAAUAGCAUGUAAAAUACAAAUUGUUCCUUUACAUGCUUUAUUUUGAAAAGCGUAUCAUUUCUAUUGAAAGCUUGCGGCUGGUACGUCGGCUCGGCGCAGAAAUGGAAAUCGGGAGACGAAACACAGAAAGGCAUUUGAAGUUAAUGAAUGUACUUCUGGUUUAAAACUGUGAAAAUGACCUUAAUAUACUGACAUUGACGUAACGUUUAAGUUCAUUAUGGCAUGUUUUUGAUACGAAUCGGUCGCGUCCUACUCCUAGCAUAGCAUUUGUUCGGCGCUGACGUCACUCGUUGUUAUUGAUGUACAGUAUUUUGGAAAGAGAAAAGUUCCUGAGGACGAGGGUCCGCUAACAAAGUGACGAUUAUUGUUUGAUGAUUUAGACCAUCAUGUUCAGAAAUAUUUAAUGAGCGUCCGAGGCUAAUUAAAUAUUUCGGAACGUACCGGAGGGCUCAUGCUCUCAGGUGCUCUUCAUUUGCGAAUGUAUUGGCUCUCAUGUUCGGAGGACUAGAAAUAACCAAAUGGUUAUGGCAAGCGUAGUAUUCUAAUGUUGAGAUAAGGUUUUCAAGAACUGAAUGAGACCAGAUAGCACAUAGAGAGGCAGAUCAGGAUGGCGCAGAGUCCAGGGUAGGAGAAGUAAGCAAAAAAACCAAACAGGAAAUCUAGCUGGACCCAACAUGGACAAAAAUGGCAAAGUUCAAGCUGUGGCUGUACCACAAAAAUCAAGAAUAUGGACCAGGUCAGCAUGAUGGCACCACAGACUGAUGAAUGGGGAGUGCUGCUGACAGCAACCGUCCGCCAUUGCGUUGACAGUUACCAUCUCAACAGUGAACUGUGAGAUUUUUCUUCAAUGACCUGAGUAAAGACAGACUUGAGGAACAGGUGGACCAUCUUGUAGCAUGCCUCACAUUGACUAAUAAAUGGAUCACCUAUUGCCGACCCCCCCCCCCCC